rnacentral:rRNA from 1 species
GACGAACGCUGGCGGCGUGCUUAACACAUGCAAGUCGAACGGAAAGGCCCUGCUUUUGUGGGGUGCUCGAGUGGCGAACGGGUGAGUAACACGUGAGUAACCUACCCUUGACUUUGGGAUAACUUCAGGAAACUGGGGCUAAUACCAGAUAGGAGCUCCUGCUGCAUGGUGGGGGUUGGAAAGUUUCGGCGGUUGGGGAUGGACUCGCGGCUUAUCAGCUUGUUGGUGGGGUAGUGGCUUACCAAGGCUUUGACGGGUAGCCGGCCUGAGAGGGUGACCGGCCACAUUGGGACUGAGAUACGGCCCAGACUCCUACGGGAGGCAGCAGUGGGGAAUAUUGCACAAUGGGCGGAAGCCUGAUGCAGCAACGCCGCGUGCGGGAUGACGGCCUUCGGGUUGUAAACCGCUUUCGCCUGUGACGAAGCGUGAGUGACGGUAAUGGGUAAAGAAGCACCGGCUAACUACGUG